AGCAGCCGCGGUAAUUCCAGCUCCAAUAGCGUAUAUUAAAGUUGUUGCAGUUAAAAAGCUCGUAGUUGAAUUUCGGGGUUCAUCCGUUGGUCGGGCUUUUUUGGUCUGUACUGGCGUGAUGGAUUCCUACCUUCUGAAUAACCAGCAUGUCAUUAAUUUGGUGCGCUGGGGAAGCAGGACUGUUACCUUGAAAAAAUUAGAGUGCUUAAAGCAGGCUAUCGCCUGAAUACAUUAGCAUGGAAUAAUGAAAUAGGACGGCAUGGUUCUAUUUUGUUGGUUUCUAGGAUCACCGUAAUGAUUAAUAGGGAUAGUUGGGGGCAUUAGUAUUCAAUUGUCAGAGGUGAAAUUCUUGGAUUUAUUGAAGUACUAACUUCUGCGAAAGCAUUUGCCAAGGAUGUUUUCAUUAAUCAAGAACGAAAGUUAGGGGAUCGAAGACGAUCAGAUACCGUCGUAGUCUUAACCAUAAACUAUAGCCGACUAGGGAUCGGAUGAUGUUAUUUUUAAUGA
rnacentral:rRNA from 1 species